AGCCCUAAGUGGGUGGUAAACUCCAUCUAAGGCUAAAUAUGACCACGAGACCGAUAGCGAACAAGUACCGUGAGGGAAAGUUGAAAAGCACUUUGAAGAGAGAGUUCAAGAGUACGUGAAACCGUUUAGGGGUAAACCUGAGAAACCCGAAAGGUCGAAGGGAGAAAUUCAUUCGCGUUUCGCCGCAGGCGUGAGACGGUCGAGUGACGGAGAGCGUUCGCGCCUCUCCGCGCCUUCCGUUUUUCGAUCCGGCGGCGAACGCGUGCACUUUUCUCCUGGUAGGACGUCGCGAUCCGUUGGGCGUCGGUCUACGGCUCGCGGUGGAGCCCGGACGUGCGGUUCGCCGUCACGUUCGGACCCGCGUGUCCCGGCCGACUCGCUCGACGGUAUACGAAAGGUUAAAGGCCGCUCUCGGAGCGUUCGGCUCGUUGCAAGCGCGUCAGUUGUGUUGGCGAUCGGACCUGGUGCCGAUUCCGACCUCUGGCGACUGUUGGCCGCGAAGUUCUCGAACAGACCUUAGACCGAUCUGCGACGCUAUAGCUUUGGGUACUUUCAG
rnacentral:rRNA from 1 species